GUACGGCGAGUGAAGAGGAAGAGCUCAAAGUUGGAACCUGUUUGGCCUAGCUAAACCGGAUUGUAGACUGUAGAAGUGUUUUCCAGGCAAGCCGAGUAAAUAAGUCCUUUGGAACAGGGCAUCAUAGAGGGUGAGAAUCCCGUCUUUGGCUUGAGCAUUUGCCUUUUGUGAUACGCUUUCAAAGAGUCAGGUUGUUUGGGAAUGCAGCCUAAAUUGGGUGGUAAAUCUCACCUAAAGCUAAAUAUUGGCGAGAAACCGAUAGCGAACAAGUACCGUGAGGGAAAGAUGAAAAGAACUUUGAAAAGAGAGUUAAACAGUAUGUGAAAUUGUUAAAAGGGAACCGUUUGGAGCCAGACUGGCUUGUCUGUAAUCAAUCUAGGCUUCGGCCUGGAUGCACUUGCAGGCUAUGCCUGCCAACGACAAUUUGACUUGAGGGAAAAAACUAGGGGAAAUGUGGCCCACUUGUGGGUGUUAUAGUCCCUUAGAAAAUACCUUGGGUUGGAUUGAGGAACGCAGCGAAUGCUUAUUGGCGAGUUUUCCAGGAAGGUUUUCUGAGGUACUACGGUAUCAAGGUUGAUCUUUUUGGUUAUACUUCUAUUCGCUUAGGUUGUUGGCUUAAUGACUCU
rnacentral:rRNA from 1 species